UAGGGAAUCUUCGGCAAUGGACGAAAGUCUGACCGAGCAACGCCGCGUGAGUGAAGAAGGUUUUCGGAUCGUAAACUCUGCUGUUAGAGAAGAACAAGGGUGAGAGUAACUGUUCACCCCUUGACGGUAUCUAACCAGAAAGCCACGGCUAACUACGUGCCAG
rnacentral:rRNA from 1 species